rnacentral:rRNA from 1 species
CAACCUGCCCACCACUUGGGGAUAACCUUGCGAAAGUAAGACUAAUACCCAAUGAUAUCUCUANNAGACAUCUGAAAGAGAUUAAAGAUUUAUCGGUGAUGGAUGGGGAUGCGUCUGAUUAGCUUGUUGGCGGGGUAACGGCCCACCAAGGCGACGAUCAGUAGGGGUUCUGAGAGGAAGGUCCCCCACAUUGGAACUGAGACACGGUCCAAACUCCUACGGGAGGCAGCAGUGAGGAAUAUUGGUCAAUGGGCGAGAGCCUGAACCAGCCAAGCAGCGUGCAGGAUGACGGCCCUAUGGGUUGUAAACUGCUUUUAUAAGGGAAUAAAGUGAGUCUCGUGAGACUUUUUGCAUGUACCUUAUGAAUAAGGACCGGCUAAUUCCGUGCCAGCAGCCGCGGUAAUACGGAAGGUCCGGGCGUUAUCCGGAUUUAUUGGGUUUAAAGGGAGCGUAGGCCGGAGAUUAAGCGUGUUGUGAAAUGUAGACGCUCAACGUCUGCACUGCAGCGCGAACUGGUUUCCUUGAGUACGCACAAAGUGGGCGGAAUUCGUGGUGUAGCGGUGAAAUGCUUAGAUAUCACGAAGAACUCCGAUUG